GGCUUAGAAGCAGCCAUCAUUUAAAGAAAGCGUAAUAGCUCACUGGUCGAGUCGGCCUGCGCGGAAGAUGUAACGGGGCUAAACCAUGCACCGAAGCUGCGGCAGCGACGCUGAUGCGUUGUUGGGUAGGGGAGCGUUCUGUAAGCCUGUGAAGGUGUGCUGUGAGGCAUGCUGGAGGUAUCAGAAGUGCGAAUGCUGACAUAAGUAACGAUAAAGCGGGUGAAAAGCCCGCUCGCCGGAAGACCAAGGGUUCCUGUCCAACGUUAAUCGGGGCAGGGUGAGUCGACCCCUAAGGCGAGGCCGAAAGGCGUAGUCGAUGGGAAACAGGUUAAUAUUCCUGUACUUGGUGUUACUGCGAAGGGGGGACGGAGAAGGCUAUGUUGGCCGGGCGACGGUUGUCCCGGUUUAAGCGUGUAGGCUGGUUUUCCAGGCAAAUCCGGAAAACUAAGGCUGAGGCGUGAUGACGAGGCACUACGGUGCUGAAGCAACAAAUGCCCUGCUUCCAGGAAAAGCCUCUAAGCAUCAGGUAACAUCAAAUCGUACCCCAAACCGACACAGGUGGUCAGGUAGAGAAUACCAAGGCGCUUGAGAGAACUCGGGUGAAGGAACUAGGCAAAAUGGUGCCGUAACUUCGGGAGAAGGCACGCUGAUAUGUAGGUGAAGUCCCUCGCGGAUGGAGCUGAAAUCAGUCGAAGAUACCAGCUGGCUGCAACUGUUUAUUAAAAACACAGCACUGUGCAAACACGAAAGUGGACGUAUACGGUGUGACGCCUGCCCGGUGCCGGAAGGUUAAUUGAUGGGGUCAGCGCAAGCGAAGCUCUUGAUCGAAGCCCCGGUAAACGGCGGCCGUAACUAUAACGGUCCUAAGGUAGCGAAAUUCCUUGUCGGGUAAGUUCCGACCUGCACGAAUGGCGUAAUGAUGGCCAGGCUGUCUCCACCCGAGACUCAGUGAAAUUGAACUCGCUGUGAAGAUGCAGUGUACCCGCGGCAAGACGGAAAGACCCCGUGAACCUUUACUAUAGCUUGACACUGAACAUUGAGCCUUGAUGUGUAGGAUAGGUGGGAGGCUUUGAAGUGUGGACGCCAGUCUGCAUGGAGCCGACCUUGAAAUACCACCCUUUAAUGUUUGAUGUUCUAACGUUGACCCGUAAUCCGGGUUGCGGACAGUGUCUGGUGGGUAGUUUGACUGGGGCGGUCUCCUCCUAAAGAGUAACGGAGGAGCACGAAGGUUGGCUAAUCCUGGUCGGACAUCAGGAGGUUAGUGCAAUGGCAUAAGCCAGCUUGACUGCGAGCGUGACGGCGCGAGCAGGUGCGAAAGCAGGUCAUAGUGAUCCGGUGGUUCUGAAUGGAAGGGCCAUCGCUCAACGGAUAAAAGGUACUCCGGGGAUAACAGGCUGAUACCGCCCAAGAGUUCAUAUCGACGGCGGUGUUUGGCACCUCGAUGUCGGCUCAUCACAUCCUGGGGCUGAAGUAGGUCCCAAGGGUAUGGCUGUUCGCCAUUUAAAGUGGUACGCGAGCUGGGUUUAGAACGUCGUGAGACAGUUCGGUCCCUAUCUGCCGUGGGCGCUGGAGAACUGAGGGGGGCUGCUCCUAGUACGAGAGGACCGGAGUGGACGCAUCACUGGUGUUCGGGUUGUCAUGCCAAUGGCACUGCCCGGUAGCUAAAUGCGGAAGAGAUAAGUGCUGAAAGCAUCUAAGCACGAAACUUGCCCCGAGAUGAGUUCUCCCUGACUCCUUGAGAGUCCUGAAGGAACGUUGAAG
rnacentral:rRNA from 1 species